rnacentral:rRNA from 1 species
GAUGAACGCUGGCGGCGUGCCUAAUACAUGCAAGUCGAGCGAACAGACGAGGAGCUUGCUCCUCUGACGUUAGCGGCGGACGGGUGUGUAACACGUGGAUAACCUCCCUAUCAGACUGGGAUCACUUCGGGAAACCGGCGCUAAUCCCGGAUAAUAUACUGAACCGCAUGGUUCAAUAGUGAAAGACGGUUUUGCUGUAUCUUAUCGCUGGUUCCGGGCUGCAUUAGAUAGUUGGUAAGGUAACGGCUUACCAAGGCAACGAUGCGUAACCGACCGGAGAGAGUGAUCGGCCACACUGGAACUGAGACACGGUCCAGACUCCUGCGAGAGGCAGCAGUAGGGAAUCUUCCGCAAUGGGCGAAAGCCUGACGGAGCAGCGCCGCGUGAGUGAUGAAAGUCUUCGGAGCGUAAAACUCUGUUAUUAGGGAAGAACAAAUGUGGAAGUAACUAUGCACGUCUUGACGGUACCUAGUCAGAAAGCCACGGCUAACUACGUG